GGCCGCAAGGUCCGGGAGUUCGUGCUUGAGUGUGUGUGGCUCAGCGUGUGUGAGGAACGCAGUGGAGCCGGGCGGCUUGCUGGCGCUGGCAGCCUUGGUGGAGUUUUAUAGUGUCCUGUCUCAUGACCUCAAGAAGGUUUCAUGCCAAGGGCACCUCCCGGGAUUGUAGCUGCUAGUGCCCCCAUCCCACAGCGAGCCACUGCCAACCCACGCCUCCGCAGGAGACCCUCCAGCACUAGCAGAUUCCACAAUUCCUUGGUCCUGGAGAUUCUUUCUAAGUCUGAUCCUGCUGGACAGGCAAGAUGGCAGAAUCAGACCACCUGCUGUGGUAUCUAGAAAAGCUUAAUAAAAAGGAAUUUAUGAGAUGGAAGAUCCACCUUGAACAAAAACAUGUGGAGCUUGGACUGCCAGAGAUCCCAACUUUUGAUCUAAGGACAACCAAAGAAGACCUGGUCAACCUGUUGAUGACCUCUUACAAGGCACAGCAUGUCUGGAACAUGAUGUUCAGCAUCUUUGAAAAUCUUCUUCAUAGAGCUCUCUGUGAGAAGAUCAACACUGGGCGAAACUUGAAAAUCUGGACCUGCAAUAUCAUCUGACGUGGAGAGUCCUGAGAGCUUGACUUCCAUCAGUUGAACGUAACUGGGGAGGAGUUGUUUUUCUUCUUUAUGAUUCCCUUUGGUCUCCCCUCAUCAGAGGCUCUGGUUAGGACAGGUGUGGGCACUGCCUGUCCAGAGGGCCACUCAGCUUUACCCAGCAGUGUCAGGCGUGAGUUCUGUUCGCCCUGAGGCUGGUUGCUCCAGGAGGUGCUGGCUUCCUCUCCCUCCUGGAGACACACAUGAUUUCCUUGAAACACAGACCACACAUUUCUCAUCUGUUAUUAAGGCAGAAUCCUGAGCAGAGAACAGUCCUGAGGUUUGUACGUGCUGCAUGAGAGGCACAUAAAUUCUUCUGAUGCCAAGAGUGAACUCCUCUUUCCCUUUUCUCUUUCCCCUCUUUUAUUAUGUAAUUGAUCAGCAGCAUUGAUCAGAAAAAAUAUGCCUUGUUGACCAUAUUCUUGGUUGAAGAUCAAGGGUGUUGAUUUUCUGUCCAUCAGUACCUGCAGCAGGUGCUAACUGGAUGGGGCAAACCUGUUCAAUGUGCCACCGGGUGGGCCCCGGACAGCCACACCCUUGAAUGGUGUCCAGCCUCCUCUUCCCCUCCAGCACGCGUUUCUCUUCUCAGCCUGGAUUUUGUCACUAUUGUGAGAAAAUUUUCCUUUGAAAGAUAACUGUGUCAAGGCUUCUAGGGUUUUAGUUUUGAGUGUUGAUGUAUUCCCCUUUUUAAUGUCGUUCUUUGUGUGUGUUUGGUCUUGGAGAUGGGCCUGUGUUACUUUCACUGUGGUAAGCAGUGCUUGUUAUGGUGUGGGGGGAGGUCCAGCAUUUGUGGACAGCUGGCUGGGAAGUGCGUGAGGAGGCCCUGGCUCUGGGAUCUGGGAAUCCCAAGUCAGCCCCUGCUGUGGAGUGACUGAGCUGCCCUGUGACCGAGGGGCACUCUAGACGGCGGCCCAGUUGACUGGGAGAGUCUAGUCCAACCUGGCCUUUGCUCUGGUAGCUUUUCUAGGUCCCGGUUUUUAUUGAGGUUUCUCAGACACUUAACUGAGUAGGCUCCUUUCCCAUGACAUCUCCCCUCUUUCCUGCUUUUGCCUGAUGUUGCAUUAUAAUGGCGCACUGUCUUAUGACUCUUGGGGAUUGGGCGUCUUCAUCUGUCCUUCUUGCAACUACUUCAGUUCAGUCCAGUUCAGUCACUCAGUCGUCUCUGACUCUUUGUGACGAAUAAUGAGUUUUUUGUUUUUUUUUAGUGAGACCAAAAAGUUGGGAAUGUCUUCAGAUGAUUGACUGAUCUGACCAUCAGCGUACACGGAAGUGUUGAGAGAAGGAGUGAGGACUGUUCCUGCUCCCUUGAGAUUUUACAAAUGGAAUCACCAGUCACCUAAUGUACAUUAUGUUGCUGUUCCCCACCCACUGACAGGUGGUGUUCAAGGUUCCCUGGGCUUGAGGGGUCCAUAAGUGCUGUAGAUUGAAUCAGUGUUGAGAGUGUGUCCUGGGACCUCUUGGGGGCCAGGACCUCGGGUUGCCUGCUGUGGACUGAAUUCCCCACCCCUCGCCCCCAUUCCUCUGUCAAAGCCCUAAUCCCCUGGGGUUAGUGCCCUUAUGAGGAAAGACCCCAGAGAGCUGGCUUCCUCUCUUGUCACCACUUGAGGACACACAAGGCUGCUAUCUCCACACCAGGAAGAGAGUCCUCACCAGACUUCUAGCCUCCAGAACUGUGAGAAGAUUUCUGUUGAGCCCCCCAGUCUAAGGUAUUCUGUAUGGCAGCCCAGGGAGGUUCGGACUACCGUGUCUGCAGAGGAACACGGUGAUUUGGUCAGUAGGCUGUCUAUUUUGGGGGCUGGGUGAGUUUGGUUAACCCCUCUAGGUAUGUGUACUGGGGACUUCUGUGGGCUCACAGUCACAGUCACAGGCACUUUUCUUACUUCUGGUUGGACAUACCAAGUUUCCUCCCCGCUCUGCCCUGUAGACUGUUACUAGACCCUGCUAAGAAAAAAGAUCCAAGGAAUUCAACUAUUUUCUUGAGAUUUCUGUAUAUCUUGGAAAAAACAACAACAGCAACAACCCAGUCAAUCAAUGACCAUUUAUCAAAGCGCCUUCCUGUGCUCUUAGCGAGACUCUUUUAUGGCCGAAGACAUAUGUAAUUUUCAGCUCAAGAACCAGCAGGGUAAAACCUGGAAUUCCAGAUCUCUUAUCAGGAGUUGUAACAAGUCUGAGAUUGUACCCUGCUUGCAAGUUAACUGGUGAGCCUGCUGCAGCAUUACGGUUGCUGGCAUGAGACGCAGGCGUCCUGGCUCCGUGGAAGGACUUUGUUCUCAUAGCAGUCUCGUGUCCAGAGAACGAGCAUUUUCUUGGACAGGUUCAGUGUGCAUGGCCGGGGACACCAUGUAGCCGGCUGUGUUACAGGAGAGGAGCCAUCAGGGUGCCUGAAUUUUACAACGAGCAGUCAGAGAGCAAGUCUGUCUCUGCCUUCCAAGGCUGUUCACUAUAUGAACAUCCUUGAAACAAAGUCCAGAGCAAAGGCCGACAGUGCCUCUGCUUACCAGGUGUGCAGAAAUGUGAGAGGCCCAUGAGGAACUCCUGCGUCUUUCCCCAGGGCUCUGCGUUGACCCCUUGGUGGAGUGGCAGGUGGUGGUGGGUUAAGUCCUUGUUGAUGGACCAUUUGAAGCCUGGGACUCGACAGGGAUGGUUGGGUAGACACAUGCUGCUGAUCUGUGCUGCACUGAGGGCACUUCCUGGGGUAUCAAGGUUGCCUGCUGGACAUUUUCUUGAAGUUGAUUGCAUUGACUUGUGGAUUCAUGUCUCAUUUUGAGUUAUGGGAGGGGAUUGCUAGGAGAGGGAAACACUCUGCUCACAAGGUUUCUCCCCUACAGAAAGAAAUUUAAGUUAAUCUAGUACAUGUUUAUUGGGCAUUAACAGCACACAGGGAAACUGGGGACAUAGAGGGGCAGAGGGCAUUGAUGACAUCCUGGGUCCACGCCCUCUGGAAGCAUUCAUCUGACAGGGAGGGGUCGUGGCACUGAGGGAGGGCAAGCCCUGCAAACGUGAGAUGGGUAGCUAGGAGACAAGACUUGUGUGCCUACAGCUGGGGUAUAUUACUUAAUGUUGAAUAACAAAGUACCCAAGAUUAGUGGCUUAAAAGAACAUUUAUGACCUUGGUUUCUGUGGGUCAGGAAUUUGGUGGUGGCUUAACUGAGGAGCUCUAGCUCAUGGUUUUUCAUCUUCGAGUCCAGAUGUCAGCCAGGGCUUUGAUCAUCUGAAGGCUUGGCUCGGGUUGGAGGAUCUGCUCCCAGGGGAACAGAUCCCAGGAGGAUCUGCUCACAUGGAUGUGGGUGGGGGAUCCUGGUUCCUUGCCAAGUGUGCCUUUCUACUCACUGUUUGUGUCUUUUCACAAAAUGGCAGCUGACUUCUCCCAGAGUGAAUGAUCCAAGAGAGCUGCACAUCAGAGGCUGAAGUAUCUUAUGACCUGCCCUCCAAAGACAUCAUCAUUUCUGCAAUGUUCUGAUUGCACAAGCCAGUACUGCUCAACACCAGGAAACGGAGAUCCCUGGCGACAGUUGGGGAGGCUGGCUACCACAGGGCCGGCAGAGGGACUGCUAGCAGAGGGCCUGGGACUGGAGAACAGAGCCCUCAAUUUCCCUACUUUUUCUUUUAUUUCUUUUAAUUUUAAAGAUAAAAUAUGCAUAACAUAUUUCUUUAAGAAAAUUAGAGAUACCAAGGGUACAUUUCAUGCAAAGAUAGGCACAAUAAAGAGCAAAAACAGCAAGGAGCUAGCAGGAGCAGAAGAGAUUAAGAAGAAGUGGCAAGAAUACACAGAAGAACUGUACAGAAAAGCUCUUAAUG